rnacentral:rRNA from 1 species
UACGUAGGGGGCAAGCGUUGUCCGGAUUUAUUGGGCGUAAAGAGCGUGUAGGCGGCCAGAUAGGUCUGUUGUGAAAACUCGAGGCUCAACCUCGAGACGCCGAUGGAAACCAUUUGGCUAGAGUCCGGAAGAGGAGAGUGGAAUUCCUGGUGUAGCGGUGAAAUGCGCAGAUAUCAGGAAGAACACCCGUGGCUAAGGCGGCUCUCUAGUACGGUACUGACGCUGAGGUGCGAAAGCAUGGGGAGCGAACAGG